rnacentral:rRNA from 1 species
UACGAAGGGGGCUAGCGUUGCUCGGAAUCACUGGGCGUAAAGGGCGCGUAGGCGGCCAUUCAAGUCGGAGGUGAAAGCCCAGGGCUCAACUCUGGAAUUGCCUUCGAUACUGUUUGGCUAGAGACCGGAAGAGGUAAGUGGAACUGCGAGUGUAGAGGUGAAAUUCGUAGAUAUUCGCAAGAACACCAGUGGCGAAGGCGGCUUACUGGUCCGGUUCUGACGCUGAGGCGCGAAAGCGUGGGGAGCAAACAGG